rnacentral:rRNA from 1 species
GGAAGGAUCAUUGUCGA